GGCCAAACCUUUCAGAUUACGUUGAAUCUGAUCACACAAAAGAAGGAGGCCGCUCUCAAUGAUGGUGUUUCGACCUGAAGGUGAAAGCGGUGGAGAAGCCCAGUCCACGUGACAAGCUGUCUCACCUAUCAAACCCCUGCUCACAGCAGGAGCUUGAACAAAUACCACUGAGUCAGCCCCUGCUCCAAAUAAAUGAUGUGAGUUCUGCGGUUUCUGCUAGAAAUGUAUGGAUCUCCAGGUGGGUAAUAAUAGCACAGUAAGAAUUCUUUUUUCAUCUUAAUCUGUUCUGACAAGAACCUUUUUAUGGGGAUGAUAUGAGUUUAUAACCUAAAAGUCAGAGAGAUGAAUGGUUAGUCCAACAUCACAUAAUUAGGGGGUGAUGGAGUGGGGG
rnacentral:lncRNA from 1 species